GAACGGAAAGGCCCUGCUUGCAGGGUGCUCGAGUGGCGAACGGGUGAGUAACACGUGGGUGAUCUGCCCUGCACUUCGGGAUAAGCUUGGGAAACUGGGUCUAAUACCGGUAUAGGACCACAUGCUGCAUGGUGUGUGGUGGAAAACGUUUUAGUGGUGUGGGAUGGGCCCGCGGCCUAUCAGCUUGUUGGUGGGGUGAUGGCCUACCAAGGCGACGACGGGUAGCCGGCCUGAGAGGGCGUCCGGCCACACUGGGACUGAGAUACGGCCCAUACUCCUACGGGAGGCAGCAGUGGGGAAUAUUGCACAAUGGGCGCAAGCCUGAUGCAGCGACGCCGCGUGGGGGAUGACGGCCUUCGGGUUGUAAACCUCUUUCACCAUCGACGAAGGCCUACUUUUGGUGGGUUGACGGUAGGUGGAGAAUAAGCACCGGCCAACUACGUGCCAGCAGCCGCGGUAAU
rnacentral:rRNA from 1 species